GUAAUAAGUCUUUUCAUGGAGUUCAUUUUUCUUUUAAAUUCAUAUGGCCACAAAAAAUAUAUAUAUAACUUUAAGUGUCUGAUAUAUGAUAACAGCCCAGUUUGUUGGCCACUCAUUUGCAUUAUCUUAAAUCACAAAUAAUUACUUAAUUUGCUGGAGUGUGUGCUUUGCAACUUUUGUACCAGAGCAAAAUUUUUAUUUAAAACAAAAAAUAAGAGUGCCCAUCACUAGGAGAAAUACUCUUCCCAGAAAACACACACACACAUACACACACAAUUUUAAAACUGAGUAAAUUUAAAUGUGUGGAAGUACCCCACAAAUUGAUUUCAACAAAUAAAUUUCAUUUCUCUAGCUACUUAUGUCUGGACUUAUUUUGAGCAUUACAAUUUUAUUGCCUUCAUUUGCCUAUUUAGAGUGAUGUAUUUUGAUAUGAUGAAGUUGUGAAUAAAAGCCUUGUGUUCAUUAUUUAUAUAUACUACCUGGUAUGCUAUGUACUGUGUCUGCUCUAGUGCUAUUCCCUAAUGAGCAACUAAGAAGAGAAGACACAACAAUAAACCAUGGAAGUCUCGAGAGGCCAUGGAAAUGAUUUAGAGGUGUAAAAUAUUCCCCAGUUUUUAUUAUAAAUUUUUAUUCAUAGGUUAAAACAUAUCAGCAUAAGUGAUAGUACAGGUGUGACUCCCUUUUCUAGGAGAGAAAAUAGCUUUAUCUGAAAACUCCAAAAACUUUAAUCUUAUCAGAGGUUUUUAAUAGGGGAACUGGGUUUACUUACAAUGAAAGCAUAUUUUCAUUCUGCUAUAGAAAAACAUAUCCCUGCUCAUUCAGUAAAUCUAAGAUUGGAAUGCUUUCUAGAACUGUGCAAUAUUUGAAUAAUUUCUAGAAUUGUCUAAGAAACAACCUUUUUUAUUUUAAAUAAUCACCUACAAACGUAGUCUGAGACUGCAAAUUAGUUUUCACUUGAAUAAUUCAGCAUUGUAGAUUAGUUACCAUUUGCUCUAUAUAGUCUAUUGAAGGAACUACUGUUAUUCAUAUUUUGAUUAAUUUUACUAGCAACAAAUUUUUAUUUUAGUAGCAUUGCAUUUACCUUAAAUAUAUAAAAAUGAAGUUGUAACAGGAUCAAAUAUAGAAAUGGCAAUGGUAACUCUGCCUAGAACAUGGUUGAAUGUCCUUGGUUAUCUGUAAGUUGCAAAGAUCUAUACAAAUUUUAUCAUAUGUCAAAAUGAUGUCUAAAUACACAGUUUCAACUAUUUCUUCCACCCUAAAACUAAAACUAAAGCAAACCCAAAUGAAGAAACCUAAACUUUUCAUCUAAUAGUUACACCCAACUAGAUAAUAGUAGCUUCUAGGCAUCAAUAAAAAGAUUUCAUUUUAACUGUCUUUUUAAUUUGUAAAAUAUAUGAGUAUGGAAUUUUGUAUCUAACUUGAAAUUUCAGAUGUUUUAAUAAUCAAAUACUUUCUUCUUUAGCAUGCCAAAGUACUAAUAGUUUAAAAAAUUUAUUUAGAUCUAAACAUAUACAUUACUUGACUUUUUCAAAAGUAUCAAAAAAUUGAUAGCUGCAGAAAUGCCAUUAUUUGAUUUUCUAUAAAACAUUGAUUCAUUCUUAAAUGUAUAUUCUUUAAAAAAUAGUAAAUACCUCAAGAGUGACAGAAGACUUUCCUUUUCUGUAAUGCUAAUUUAAACGUUGAGUCUUAGUUUACCUGGUCAUAGGGGUUAAAUAAUAAAAUGUAUACCUGUACAAUUAAUUGUGUUCUUAUGACCUGAUGAUUUUUUGAAAAUUUGCUUUUCUCUCAAGAAAUUUAAGUUUUCAAGGGCCAUAUUAGUUACCUAAAUAUUUUGGUCUAAUGUUGACUUACAAA
ensembl:lncRNA